UACGUAGGCAGCGAGCGUUGUUCGGAAUUACUGGGCGUAAAGAGUGUGUAGGCGGUGCUCCCAGUCUGUUGUGAAAUCUCCCGGCUUAACUGGGAGGGUGCAGCGGAAACUAGAGUGCUAGAGGGUGGGAGAGGUAAGCGGAAUUCCUGGUGUAGCGGUGAAAUGCGUAGAUAUCAGGAGGAACACCGGCGGUGUAGACGGCUUUCUGGACCGUAGCUGACGCUGAGACACGAAAGCGUGGGUAGCAAACAGG
rnacentral:rRNA from 1 species